ACGCAGUCUGAUGGAGCACGCCGCGUGAGUGAGAAGGCUUUCGGGUCGUAAAACUCUGUUGUUGGAGAAGAAUGGUCGGCAGAGUAACUGUUGUCGGCGUGACGGUAUCCAACCAGAAAGCCACGGCUAACUACGUGCCAGCAGCCGCGGUAAUACGUAGGUGGCAAGCGUUAUCCGGAUUUAUUGGGCGUAAAGCGAGCGCAGGCGGUUUUUUAAGUCUGAUGUGAAAGCCCUCGGCUUAACCGAGGAAGUGCAUCGGAAACUGGAAAACUUGAGUGCAGAAGAGGACAGUGGAACUCCAUGUGUAGCGGUGAAAUGCGUAGAUAUAUGGAAGAACACCAGUGGCGAAGGCGGCUGUCUGGUCUGUAACUGACGCUGAGGCUCGAAAGCAUGGGUAGCGAACAGGAUUAGAUACC
rnacentral:rRNA from 1 species